GCAGGAACUGAGCUCCGCACAGGGUGUGGUCGCCCAGCUGCUGCUCUGGGCGGAGCUGGCCCAGGCCUGCGCUGGCGACUAGGAGGGGAUGGGCCAGCUUCCUGACUCCAGAACCAGACAAACCAUCAGCCUCUGCACAAGGACCAGUUCGGUUCCAAAUUCCCCACGGUUGAUGCUCUCUCAAAUCUGAGUGAUCAUGAAGGAGGCCAUGUAUUGAACAGCUCCCGUAAAAAGCUGUGAUCAUCACCGGAAAGGUGAUUUCACCGUGCAGUGAGACAUGAACCUGGAUGUCCUAGCAGUACAGUGAGGAAACUAAUCAUUUUAUGUUUUGGCUCAUUCAUAUCACAUUAAGCUAAUUGGAAAUUCUGUAAGUCAUUUAAGAGUCAAAAUUCCAGAUGAAAAGGGAAUUCUGUCUCUUGCCCAGACUAUCAACCCAUCCCAUCCCCAAAAUAAAUGUAAACAAUUCUCAGUUGUAAAAACAUGACACUUAAGUAUGGAAAUCACCAUCAUUACUAAUUCGUGUGAAUACUUCACAUUUUAAAAGCAACUGUAAUUGUUUUAAAUAAUAGAAUUUCAAUUGCCUUUAAAACCUUGCCUCAGCAUUUUGAAAUUUAAAAAGCUCUGUUAAGACUUCCGUGUUUCUGGGGAGAUUGGGCUGUGUCAGGAGGGCCUGGGAGGAGAGGGGCCCUCCCUCUGGAUGUAAAGUGAAUAAAUAAAUGAAUGGAAAAAAGA